UAGCGUAAAUUUUGUAUGGAGUUGGAACGUUUGCCUACGUUUGCCGCUAGGGGCGCUGUUCCAACUGCACACAAAAUUGCGUUA
rnacentral:pre_miRNA from 1 species